rfam:Delftia acidovorans SPH-1, complete genome.
CAGAUUAUUCGCACCAUCCAUUGGAUGGUGGGUUAGCCAGCGGCCUUCAGCGCCAUGCAACCCGCCCAGAGGAGGCGGGUUUU